GACGUAGGAGGCGAGCGUUAUCCGGAUUCACUGGGCGUAAAGCGCAUGUAGGCGGUUCGUCAAGUCGUGUGUUAAAGCCCCUGGCUCAACUGGGGGAGGUCAUGCGAGACUGACAGACUUGAGGGCAGUAGAGGCACGUGGAACUCCCGGUGUAGUGGUGAAAUGCGCAGAUAUCAGGAAGAACACCCGUGGCGAAGGCGGCUCUCUGGGACGGUACUGACGCUGAGACGCGAAAGCGUGGGGAGCGAACAGG
rnacentral:rRNA from 1 species